AUUGAACGCUGGCGGCAGGCCUAACACAUGCAAGUCGAACGAGUGGCGGACGGGUGAGUAAUGUCUGGGAAACUGCCUGAUAGAGGGGGAUAACUACUGGAAACGGUAGCUAAUACCGCAUACCAUCAGAUGUGCCCAGAUGGGAUUAGCUAGUUGGUGGGGUAAAGGCUCACCAAGGCAACGAUCCCUAGCUGGUCUGAGAGGAGGACCAGCCACACUGGAACUGAGACACGGCCCAGACUCCUACGGGAGGCAGCAGUGGGGAAUAUUGGACAAUGGGCGAAAGCCUGAUGCAGCCAUGCCGCGUGUAUGAAGAAGGCCUUCGGGUUGUAAAGUACUUUCAGCGGGGAGGCGUUACCCGCAGAAGAAGCACCGGCUAACUACGUGCCAGCAGCCGCGGUAAUAC
rnacentral:rRNA from 1 species